rnacentral:rRNA from 1 species
UACAGGGGGGGCAAGCGUUGUUCGGAAUUACUGGGCGUAAAGGGCUUGUAGGUGGCCAACUAAGUCACACGUGAAAUCCCCAGGCUUAACCUGGGAACUGCGUGUGAUACUGGAUGGCUUGAAUCCGGGAGAGGGAUGCGGAAUUCCAGGUGUAGCGGUGGAAUGCGUAGAGAUCCGGAAGAACACCGGUGGCGAAGGCGGCCUGCUGGGCAGUAGCUGACACUGAGGCGCGACAGCGUGGGGAGCAAACAGG